rnacentral:rRNA from 1 species
AAUUCCGAAUUACACUCCCAACCCAAUGUGAACGUUACCAAACUGUUGCCUCGGCGGGAUCUCUGCCCCGGGUGCGUCGCAGCCCCGGACCAAGGCGCCCGCCGGAGGACCAACCAAAACUCUUUUUGUAUACCCCCUCGCGGGUUUUUUAUAAUCUGAGCCUUCUCGGCGCCUCUCGUAGGCGUUUCGAAAAUGAAUCAAAACUUUCAACAACGGAUCUCUUGGUUCUGGCAUCGAUGAAGAACGCAGCGAAAUGCGAUAAGUAAUGUGAAUUGCAGAAUUCAGUGAAUCAUCGAAUCUUUGAACGCACAUUGCGCCCGCCAGUAUUCUGGCGGGCAUGCCUGUCCGAGCGUCAUUUCAACCCUCGAACCCCUCCGGGGGGUCGGCGUUGGGGAUCGGCCCUGCCUCUUGGCGGUGGCCGUCUCCGAAAUACAGUGGCGGUCUCGCCGCAGCCUCUCCUGCGCAGUAGUUUGCACACUCGCAUCGGGAGCGCGGCGCGUCCACAGCCGUUAAACACCCAACUUCUGAAAUGUUGACCUCGGAUCAGGUAGGAAUACCCGCUGAACUUAAGCAUAUCAAAAGGCGGGAGGAAAGACCUCGGAUCAGUAGAAACCCCCCUC